rnacentral:rRNA from 1 species
GAUUAACGCUGGCGGUAUGUCUAAUACAUGCAAGUCGAGCGACGCUUCGAGCGGAGCGGCGAACGGGUGAGUAACGCGUUGGUAGCUGCCCCACACUCAGGGAUAACUGUUAGAAAUAGCAGCUAAUACCGGAUAGUCCCGCAAGGGUAAAGCUUUUGCGGUGUGGGAGGCGCCUGCGUCCUAUCAGCUUGUUGGUGAGGUAAUGGCUUACCAAGGCUAUGACGGGUAGUUGGUCUGAGAGGAUGAUCAGCCACAAUGGGACUGAGACACGGCCCAUACUCCUACGGGAGGCAGCAGUAAGGAAUCUUUCACAAUGGCCUAACGGCUGAUGAAGCAAUACCGCGUGGUCGAUGAAGCCUUUACGGGUGUAAAGACCUUUUCUGAGGGAAGAAUUCUGACGGUACCUUAGGAAUAAGCACCGGCUAACUCCGUG